rnacentral:rRNA from 1 species
UGCGUUNUGAACUGGGUGACUAGAGUGUGUCAGAGGGAGGUAGANUUCCACGUGUAGCAGUGAAAUGCGUAGAGAUGUGGAGGAAUACCGAUGGCGAAGGCAGCCUCCUGGGAUAACACUGACGUUCAUGCCCGAAAGCGUGGGUAGCAAACAGGAUUAGAUACCCUGGUAGUCCACGCCCUAAACGAUGUCGAUUAGCUGUUGGGCAGCAUGACUGCUUAGUAGCGAAGCUAACGCGUGAAAUCGACCGCCUGGGGAGUACGGUCGCAAGAUUAAAACUCAAAGGAAUUGACGGGGACCCGCACAAGCGGUGGAUGAUGUGGAUUAAUUCGAUGCAACGCGAAGAACCUUACCUGGUCUUGACAUGUACGGAACCCUCCAGAGACGGAGGGGUGCCUUCGGGAGCCGUAACACAGGUGCUGCAUGGCUGUCGUCAGCUCGUGUCGUGAGAUGUUGGGUUAAGUCCCGCAACGAGCGCAACCCUUGUCAUUAGUUGCCAUCAUUAAGUUGGGCACUCUAAUGAGACUGCCGGUGACAAGCCGGAGGAAGGUGGGGAUGACGUCAAGUCCUCAUGGCCCUUAUGACCAGGGCUUCACACGUCAUACAAUGGUCGGUACAGAGGGUAGCCAAGCCGCGAGGUGGAGCCAAUCUCACAAAACCGAUCGUAGUCCGGAUUGCACUCUGCAACUCGAGUGCAUGAAGUCGGAAUCGCUAGUAAUCGCAGGUCAGCAUACUGCGGUGAAUACGUUCCCGGGUCUUGUACACACCGCCCGUCACACCAUGGGAGUGGGGGAUACCAGAAGU